CGUUGAACGCCGCGUUGAACGCUGCGACGGCCGCCCCCUGGCCCGUCGGUCCACCAGGCACGAUGUUCCAUGAGCUGAGGCACGCGCACGAAGCAUGGCUCCACGAUGGCAACACGGGGGGCAGCGGCAGUGAGCACGCCUCGAGCCCGGGCUUUGCAUCCGACUGUUCCGG